rnacentral:lncRNA from 1 species
GGUGGGUUCUGGGGGGGGUUUGACUCCAUCAGCCUGGUACCAGGGGAUUUCAGGGAAGUUUGAUUUCCUCAGGCUGGCACCCAGUGGGUUUUGGGUGAUUGGACCUCCUCAGGCUGGCACUGGGUGUGUUUUGGGGGAUUUGAUCUCUUCAGGCUGGCACCGGGUGGGUUUGGGGGAUUUGAUCUCCUCAGGCUGGCACUGGAUGUGUUUUGGGGGGUUGGAUCCCUUCAGCUUGGUACUGGGUGGGUUCUAGUGGGUUUGACUCCUUCAGGUUGGUACCAGGUGGGUUUUGGGGGAUUUGACCCCCUUAAGUUGGUACCGGGUGAAUUUUGAGGGAUUUGAUCUCCUCAGGCUGGCACUGGGUGGGUUUUGGGGAGUUGGAUCUCUUCAGGCUGGCACUGGGUGGGUUUGGGGGAUUUGAUCUCCUCAGGCUGGCACUGGGUGGGUUUUGGGAGGUUUGAUCUCUUCAAGUUGGCACCAGGUGGGUUUGGGGGAUUGGAUCUCCUCAGGCUGGCACUGGGUGGGUUUGGGGGAUUGGAUCUCCUCAGGCUGGCACUGGGUGGGUUUUGGGGGAUUUGAUCUCUUCAGGUUGGCACCAGGGUGGGUUUGGGGGAUUGGAUCUCCUCAGGCUGGCACCGGGUGGGCUUUGGGGGAUUUGAUCUCCUCAGGCUGGCACUGGGUGGGUUUGGGGGAUUUGAUCUCCUCAGGCUGGCACUGGGUGGGUUUGGGGGAUUUGAUCUCCUCAGGCUGGCACUGGGUGGGUUUUGGGGGGUUGGAUCUCUUCAGGUUGGCACCAGGUGGAUUUGGGGGGUUGGAUCUCCUCAGGCUGGCACUGGGUGGGUUUUGGGGGAUUUGAUCUCUUUAGGUUGGCACCAGGGUGGGUUUGGGGAAUUUGAUCUCCUCAGGCUGGCACUGGGUGGGUUUUGGGGAAGGUUUGACCCCCUUGGAUUGGUACCAGGGCGAUUUCAGGGCUUGGGGGCCUCCCCAGCAAGGAGAGGCUGAGACACCACAGAGCAGCUCAUCCCUGGACACUGAGCUGUGUCCCCAACCCAGGGACUGUCCCUCAUGCCAACACCCCAAAGCUGCUGGCAGCAGAGCAGGUGCCACCCCGCUGCCAGUCCCGUGGGCACAGGGACCACACAGGGGUGCCCCAGACCCCCCAAACCCCAAGGAAGGUUUUUGUAGCACCUACUGGACUUGCUCUGCCUCAUGUCCAGCACCUUGGCGUUGGCGCUCAGCUGGUACAGGGUCUCCAGCAGCUGCGUGGUCUUGCGGUACAGGCUCUGCGUGGGCAGC